GGUUGUCCACCACUGUGUGCUGCUU
rnacentral:misc_RNA from 1 species